GGGGGGAUAACCGUCCGAAAGGAUGGCUAAUACCGCGUACGUCGGCCGGGUCCUCGGACCUGGUCGGGAAAGAUGGCCUCUCCAUGGAAGCUAUCACUGAAGGAGCAGCCCGCGUCCCAUCAGCUUGUUGGCGGGGUAACGGCCCACCAAGGCAAAGACGGGUAGCUGGUCUGAGAGGAUGAUCAGCCACACUGGAACUGAGACACGGUCCAGACUCCUACGGGAGGCAGCAGUGGGGGAAUAUUGGGCAAUGGGCGCAAGCCUGACCCAGCCAUGCCGCGUGAGUGAUGAAGGCCUUCGGGUCGUAAAGCUCUGUGGGGAGGGACGAAACCGGACGUGGCUAACAUCCACGGACCUUGACGGUACCUCCUUAGCAAGCACCGGCUAACUCCGUGCCAGCAGCCGCGGUAA
rnacentral:rRNA from 1 species